AACGAACGCUGGCGGCGUGCCUAACACAUGCAAGUCGUGCGAGAAAGUUCCUUCGGGAGCGAGUAAAGCGGCGCACGGGUGAGUAACACGUAGGUAACCUGCCCCCCAGUCUGGAACAACUAGAGGAAACUCUAGCUAAUGCCGGAUGAGACCACGAUCCCUUCGGGGGUUGCGGCCCAAAAAGGAUGGCCUCUACUUGUAAGCUAUCGCUGAGGGAUGGGCCUGCGGGCCAUUAGUUUGUUGGUGAGGUAACGGCUCACCAAGGCUGUGAUGGCUAGCUGGUCUGAGAGGAUGACCAGCCACACUGGGACUGAGACACGGCCCAGACUCCUACGGGAGGCAGCAGUGGGGAAUAUUGCGCAAUGGGCGAAAGCCUGACGCAGCGACGCCGCGUGGGUGAUGAA
rnacentral:rRNA from 1 species